UACGGAGGGUGCGAGCGUUGUCCGGAAUCAUUGGGCGUAAAGGGCGCGUAGGCGGCCGUCCCAAGCGUGCGGUGAAAGUCGGGGGCUCAACCCCUGAUCGGCCGUGCGAACUGGGGGGCUGGAGCACUGUAGAGGCAGGCGGAAUUCCGGGUGUAGCGGUGGAAUGCGCAGAUAUCAGGAAGAACACCGGUGGCGAAGGUGGCUCUCUGGGCCUUACCUGACGCUGAGGAGCGAAAGCGUGGGUAGCGAACAGG
rnacentral:rRNA from 1 species